GAAGCUUUAGCCUAAUUAGGGCAUCUGUAUUGCAUGCAGAAAGUAUAGGUUAGACUCCUGUAAGUUUUA
rnacentral:tRNA from 1 species